UCAGUCCGUGAAAACCGGACCGAGCUGAGUCACUGUAGGACGACAACAGCACCAUUUGAGGAAGAAAAGAGAGGAAGAAGGAGAAGGAAGUAGUUAUGUGCGUGCCAGCCCAAGCCUGGAGUCGAAACGGACUGUAGCAGGUAAAGCAGGUGGCCCAGAUGAUGUAUAUGAUCAGACUUGAUGAGGAGUUGUGCAGGUGCCAUGGACGCACAGCCAUGUUGCUAAGAGGAGCUGCGUGGUCAUGCGGCUUACAUUUAUAUGUUUUCUAUUAGUUCUUAUGUAUGCAAAUCUUGUAAUCGUUAAUGUUGAGACAUUGGGUUGUAUAAGUCAUUAUGGGCUGCUUGUAUAAUUGAAUGAUAAUGAAAUUUCCCUUAUGUU